GUCCAGACUCCUACGGGAGGCAGCAGUGGGGAAUAUUGCACAAUGGGGGAAACCCUGAUGCAGCAACGCCGCGUGAGUGAAGAAGUAUUUCGGUAUGUAAAGCUCGAUCAGCAGGGAAGAAGAUGACGGUACCUGAGUAAGAAGCCCCGGCUAACUACGUGCCAGCAGCCGCGGUAAUACGUAGGGGGCAAGCGUUAUCCGGAUUUACUGGGUGUAAAGGGAGCGUAGACGGUGAGACAAGUCUGAAGUGAAAGCCCGGGGCUCAACCCCGGGACUGCUUUGGAAACUGCCUGACUGGAGUGCUGGAGAGGCAAGCGGAAUUCCUAGUGUAGCGGUGAAAUGCGUAGAUAUUAGGAAGAACACCAGUGGCGAAGGCGGCUUGCUGGACAGUAACUGACGUUGAGGCUCGAAAGCGUGGGGAGCAAACAGGAUUAGAUACCCGAGUAGGG
rnacentral:rRNA from 1 species